rnacentral:rRNA from 1 species
GACGUAGGGUGCAAGCGUGUCCGGAUUUAUUGGGCGUAAAGAGCUCGUAGGCGGCUUGUUGCGUCGACUGUGAAAACCCGCGGCUUAACCGCGGGCUUGCAGUUGAUACGGGCAGGCUAGAGUUCGGUAGGGGAGACUGGAAUUCCUGGUGUAGCGGUGAAAUGCGCAGAUAUCAGGAGGAACACCGGUGGCGAAGGCGGGUCUCUGGGCCGAUACUGACGCUGAGGAGCGAAAGCGUGGGGAGCGAACAGG